UAGCUAGUUGGUGAGGUAACGGCUUACCAAGGCGACGAUCUGUAGCGGGUCUGAGAGGAUGAUCCGCCACACUGGAACUGAGACACGGUCCAGACUCCUACGGGAGGCAGCAGUGGGGAAUUUUGGACAAUGGGGGCAACCCUGAUCCAGCCAUGCCGCGUGAGUGAAGAAGGCCUUCGGGUUGUAAAGCUCUUUCGGCCGGGAAGAAAUCGCAUGGGCCAAUACCCUGUGUGGAUGACGGUACCGGAAUAAGAAGCACCGGCUAACUACGUGCCAGCAGCCGCGGUAAUACGUAGGGUGCGAGCGUUAAUCGGAAUUACUGGGCGUAAAGCGUGCGCAGGCGGUUUUGUAAGACAGGCGUGAAAUCCCCGGGCUCAACCUGGGAACUGCGUUUGUGACUGCAAGGCUAGAGUACGGCAGAGGGGGGUGGAAUUCCACGUGUAGCAGUGAAAUGCGUAGAGAUGUGGAGGAACACCAAUGGCGAAGGCAGCCCCCUGGGUCGAUACUGACGCUCAUGCACGAAAGCGUGGGUAGCAAACAGGAUUAGAUACCCUGGUAGUCCACGCCCUAAACUAUGUCAACUAGGUGUUGGGUGGGUAAAACCAUUUAGUACCGUAGCUAACGCGUGAAGUUGACCGCCUGGGGAGUACGGCCGCAAGGUUAAAACUCAAAGGAAUUGACGGGGACCCGCACAAGCGGUGGAUGAUGUGGAUUAAUUCGAUGCAACGCGAAAAACCUUACCUACCCUUGACAUGCCAGGAACUUGCCAGAGAUGGCUUGGUGCCCGAAAGGGAGCCUGGACACAGGUGCUGCAUGGCUGUCGUCAGCUCGUGUCGUGAGAUGUUGGGUUAAGUCCCGCAACGAGCGCAACCCUUGUCGUUAAUUGCCAUCAUUUAGUUGGGCACUUUAGCGAGACUGCCGGUGACAAACCGGAGGAAGGUGGGGAUGACGUCAAGUCCUCAUGGCCCUUAUGGGUAGGGCUUCACACGUCAUACAAUGGUCGGUACAGAGGGUCGCCAAGCCGCGAGGUGGAGCCAAUCCCAGAAAGCCGAUCGUAGUCCGGAUUGCAGGCUGCAACUCGCCUGCAUGAAGUCGGAAUCGCUAGUAAUCGUGGAUCAGCAUGUCACGGUGAAUACGUUCCCGGGUCUUGUACACACCGCCCGUCACACCAUGGGAGCGGGUUCCGCCAGAAGUAGGUAGCCUAACCGCAAGGAGGGCGCUUACCACGGCGGGGUUCGUGACUGGGGUGAAGUCGGAACAAGGUAGCCGUAGGGGAACCUGCGGCUG
rnacentral:rRNA from 1 species